UGUUACUGCGAAGGGGGGACGGAGAAGGCUAUGUUAGCCGGGCGACGGUUGUCCCGGUUUAAGCAUGUAGGCUGGUUAUCCAGGCAAAUCCGGAUAACCAAGGCUGAGGUGUGAUGACGAGGCACUACGGUGCUGAAGUAACAAAUGCCCUGCUUCCAGGAAAAGCCUCUAAGCAUCAGGUAACAUCAAAUCGUACCCCAAACCGACACAGGUGGUCAGGUAGAGAAUACCAAGGCGCUUGAGAGAACUCGGGUGAAGGAACUAGGCAAAAUGGUGCCGUAACUUCGGGAGAAGGCACGCUGGUGUGUAGGUGAAGCCCCUGCGGGUGGAGCUGAGACCAGUCGAAGAUACCAGCUGGCUGCAACUGUUUAUUAAAAACACAGCACUGUGCAAACACGAAAGU
rnacentral:rRNA from 1 species